ACGAACGCUGGCGGCGUGCCUAACACAUGCAAGUCGAGCGAUGAAAUCCUUCGGGAUGGAUUAGCGGCGGACGGGUGAGUAACACGUGGGUAACCUGCCUCAAAGAGGGGAAUAGCCUUCCGAAAGGAAGAUUAAUACCGCAUAAUAUGUUUUGGUCGCAUGACUGAAACAUCAAAGGAGCAAUCCGCUUUGAGAUGGACCCGCGGCGCAUUAGCUAGUUGGUGAGGUAACGGCUCACCAAGGCGACGAUGCGUAGCCGACCUGAGAGGGUGAUCGGCCACAUUGGAACUGAGACACGGUCCAGACUCCUACGGGAGGCAGCAGUGGGGAAUAUUGCGCAAUGGGGGAAACACUGACGCAGCAACGCCGCGUGAAUGAUGAAGGCCUUCGGGUUGUAAAGUUCUGUCUUCUGGGACGAUAAUGACGGUACCAGAGGAGGAAGCCACGGCUAACUACGU
rnacentral:rRNA from 1 species